CCGAGUACCGGGUCUUUUCAGGCCCUUACUCCCACCCUUUGUGUAUCUUACCUUUAUUUCUUGUUGCCUUGGCGGGUCUAGGGGGAGACCCCGGGGGGCCUCACGGCCCCGCCCGCCAGGGGGACAGCCCUUAAACUCUUUGUUAACCGGGUCGUCUGAGAAAACAAAACAAUAAAUUA
rnacentral:misc_RNA from 1 species